CGUAGGCAGCGUAGCGUUGUUCGGAGUUACUGGGCGUAAAGGUGUGUAGGCGGUUGUUAAGUUUGGUGUGAAAUCUCCCGGCGUCAACUGGGAGGGUGCGCCGAAUACUGAAUGACUAGAGUGCGGGAGAGGUGAGUGGAAUUCCUGGUGUAGCGGUGAAAUGCGUAGAUAUCAGGAGGAACACCGGUGGUGUAGACGGCUCACUGGACCGUAACUGACGCUGAGACACAAAAGCGUGGGUAGCAAACAGGAUUAGAUACCCUGGUAGUCCACGCCCUAAACGAUGCAUAUUUGGUGUGGGCAGUUCAUUCUGUCCGUGCCGGAGCUAACGCGUUAAAUGUGCCGCCUGGGGAGUACAGUCGCAAGGCUG
rnacentral:rRNA from 1 species